rnacentral:rRNA from 1 species
GACGAACGCUGGCGGCGUGCUUAACACAUGCAAGUCGAACGGAAAGGCCCUGCUUUUGUGGGCUGCUCGAUUGGCGAACGGGUGAGUAACACGUGAGUAACCUGCCCUUGACUUUGGGAUAACUUCAGGAAACUGGGGCUAAUACCGGAUAGGAGCUCCUGCUGCAUGGUGGGGGUUGGAAAUUUUCGGCGGUUGUGGAUGGACUCGCGGCUUAUCAGCUUGUUGGUGGGGGAGUGGCUUACCAAGGCUUGGACGGGUAGCCGGCCUGAGAGGGUGACCGGGCACCUUGGGACUAAGGUACGGACCAGACUCCUACGUGAGGCAGUAGUGGGGAAUCUUGCCCAGCGAGCGGAAGUCUGAUGAGGAAGCGCCGCGUGCGGGAUGACGGCUUUCGGGUAAUGAACAGCUGUCGGCUGUGACGAAGCGUGAGUGACGGUACUGGGUGAAUAAGCACCGGCUAACUUCGUG